rnacentral:rRNA from 1 species
AGCGAACGCUGGCGGCAGGCCUAACACAUGCAAGUCGAACGAACUCUUCGGAGUUAGUGGCGGACGGGUGAGUAACACGUGGGAACGUGCCUUUAGGUUCGGAAUAACUCAGGGAAACUUGCGCUAAUACCGAAUGUGCCCUUCGGGGGAAAGAUUUAUCGCCUUUAGAGCGGCCCGCGUCUGAUUAGCUAGUUGGUGAGGUAAAGGCUCACCAAGGCGACGAUCAGUAGCUGGCCUGAGAGGAUGAUCAGCCACAUUGGGACUGAGACACGGCCCAAACUCCUACGGGAGGCAGCAGUGGGGAAUUUUGCGCAAUGGGCGAAAGCCUGACGCGGCCAUGCCGCGUGAAUGAUGAAGGUCUUAGGAUUGUAAGAUUCUUUCACCGGGGACGAUAAUGACGGUACCCGGAGAAGAAGCCCCGGCUAACUUCGUGCCAGCCGCCGCCGUAA